GACGAACGCUGGCGGCGUGCUUAACACAUGCAAGUCGAGCGGUAAGGCCCUUUCGGGGGUACACGAGCGGCGAACGGGUGAGUAACACGUGGGUGACCUGCCCUCAGCUCUGGGAUAAGCCUGGGAAACUGGGUCUAAUACCGGAUAUGACUCCAUGACGCAUGUUGUGGGGUGGAAAGCCUUGUGCGGCUGAGGAUGGGCCCGCGGCCUAUCAGCUUGUUGGUGGGGUGANGGCCUACCAAGGCGACGACGGGUAGCCGGCCUGAGAGGGCGACCGGCCACACUGGGACUGAGACACGGCCCAGACUCCUACGGGAGCAGCAGUGGGGAAUCUUGCGCAAUGGGCGAAAGCCUGACGCGGCGACGCCGCGUGAGGGAUGACGGCCUGG
rnacentral:rRNA from 1 species